UGGGGAAUAUUGGACAAUGGGCGAAAGCCUGAUCCAGCCAUGCCGCGUGUGUGAAGAAGGUCUUCGGAUUGUAAAGCACUUUAAGUUGGGAGGAAGGGCAGUAAGCGAAUACCUUGCUGUUUUGACGUUACCGACAGAAUAAGCACCGGCUAACUCUGUGCCAGCAGCCGCGGUAAUACAGAGGGUGCAAGCGUUAAUCGGAAUUACUGGGCGUAAAGCGCGCGUAGGUGGUUCGUUAAGUUGAAUGUGAAAGCCCCGGGCUCAACCUGGGAACUGCAUCCAAAACUGGCGAGCUAGAGUAGGGCAGAGGGUGGUGGAAUUUCCUGUGUAGCGGUGAAAUGCGUAGAUAUAGGAAGGACCACCAGUGGCGAAGGCGACCACCUGGGCUCAUACUGACACUGAGGUGCGAAAGCGUGGGGAGCAAACAGG
rnacentral:rRNA from 1 species